rnacentral:rRNA from 1 species
CCUACGGGAGGCAGCAGUAGGGAAUCUUCCACAAUGGGCGAAAGCCUGAUGGAGCAACGCCGCGUGGGUGAAGAAGGUCUUCGGAUCGUAAUACCCUGUUGUUAGAGAAGAAAGUGCGUGAGAGUAACUGUUCACGUUUCGACGGUAUCUAACCAGAAAGCCACGGCUAACUACGUGCCAGCAGCCGCGGUAAUACGUAGGUGGCAAGCGUUAUCCGGUUUUAUUGGGCGUAAAGGGAACGCAGGCGGUCUUUUAAGUCUGAUGUGAAAGUCUUCGGCUUAACCGGAGUAGUGCAUUGGAAACUGGGAGACUUGAGUGCAGAAGAGGAGAGUGGAACUCCAUGUGUAGCGGUGAAAUGCGUAGAUAUAUGGAAGAACACCAGUGGCGAAAGCGGCUCUCUGGUCUGUAACUGACGCUGAGGUUCGAAAGCGUGGGUAGCAAACAGGAUUAGAUACCCUUGUAGUC